rnacentral:lncRNA from 1 species
GCUGUUUUAAUUUGCAAAAAUUCUCAAGCAUACUUACCUUGCAUUUAUUGCCUGAUCAAAACAGGAUCCGAGGAGAGGAAUGUCAUACUCUUAGAUCAAAGACUUUGGAAUUAAAAACUUGUCAACUCUUAUUGGCAUAUUGCUUAUUAGAGGGACCAUGGGCUAUCAUUUUCUUUCUUUUCUCUUUCUUUUUCAGGUGGAUACCGAGGUACCCUUAAUUCUACUGCCGGACACUCGUCCAUUUUUUCUGCGAGGUUGUCGAGCACUUGCUCCUUUUUAUUUCCUCGAGAUAUCCUUAUUUUUGCAUAGCCCAUGCCUCUAACGCAAUAAUACUUCGGAAGAGUGAAUCUUUUUGAAUAGAUGUCUUGAUCUUAGGAGCAUGAUAAAUCUCUCAACAAGGGUCUAACUCAUUUUGAACAAACUCAAUAUAGAGUAGAUAGCUUUUAUAAUUAUCAUAUUAAUAUUUUCAGGUUUAUCAGGCAUAUAAAACACUGAGGAUGGUAGCUAGAAUUUUUAAAUAAAUUCUCCAAGCAACAAUGAUAUCAAGAAUAAGGAACUCAUACUCUACCAUCUUACAUUCCACAGUGACUUAAGUAACACAGGGUUUUAAAUGAUUUUAUAAUAAUUGCAAGUUUUCAGGAAAUAUCACAGAGUGAGAUUAAUCAUGAUUGGAAACAUUUUGACCUUGUUAAUUUAUCAUGUCGGAGAUAAUAUUCUGCAUGAACCAAGAUAUAUGAGUAUGUUUAAAGUGUGUAGAGUAUGUACCUGAAUCGUGGAGUGGUGAAGUCGAAGUGCUUUUGGCAUGUCAGGGGAUCUCCCCCAUACUUGUUUUAUGCUUUCUUGCAUAAUAAAGUAGAGACACACAAGACAUAAUAAUAAUAAUAAUAGUAAUCUUUAUUAAUCUUGAGGCAUUUAUUACAAAUGACUAGUAAUGAACUGAAGCUAAUAAUAGAUCUAAACCGAAUUUAAAGAUAAAUAACUAAGAAGCACUGCCUCAAGAUCUAAUCUAGAUAACUUAGCGGCGCUCUAACUCCCUGAUCUUCUUAUUAGCACUAGCAAGAUCAUGCCUAAGACCUAGUAUAACAGUGUUCUAGUUAGAGAGCUGCCUAGUGACAGAGUUAACCAAGGACUGGAGCUCUAUGAUGACCCUGUCUAGCCUACGAACGUCCUCAUCAAUAUCUACUAUAGUCUUGCGACGCUUAGGAGGUGUCUCAAGAGCAUUGAGAGCAUGCUUGGGGGCUGCCUUAGGAGGGAUGAAACGGACUUUGGCUGCUCAAACCCCCUCGAAGUAAUUCCUCUCCUCCUCCGUAGUGUAGCGGAUGCUGCUGAUCUCGCCGCUCCGGUUGGUAUUGACUCCAACGACCCUCUCAUUGGGUCUGGGUGGCAGGAUCCUUAUGCCGGCUGGCACCUUGACGGUCCCUUGAGAAGUAGGGACUGUGGCGGUGCGGUGAGAACUGGUUGAGCAUGGUAGGAUUGGGCGGAGCUGCACUAGCGUAAUGGCAUGGCUUCUAGCUGUCGCUCAGUGUUGGCUGGGACGAGAGCGUGGGCGUCGGGGUCUUCCUUGGGCUUUUUGUUGAGGUCGUAGGGGACGACUUCCCAAUCGUCGUGGAACUCUUCGGCCAUUGGAGCAGCGAGGGACUAAGCAAGCUCUAGUUGAAGAAGGAGAGAAGGCUUGUAUGAAUUGGUGUUUGAAAACUGACGUCAGGGGUCUGUUUAUAUAGGGGUCAAAAAGUGCCUCUAGGGUUUGCUCGGGCUACUCCCGCCGUCGUGCGUGCGAAACUUUCCAUCUAUAUGAUUAUUUAGUUUACCAUAAAUGUGUUUAGCGCGACGGAGGAAAUCGGGACUGAGAGGCGACAGGGGCUAGGCGCCCGCCCUCUUCAUCAGGGCGCCCGCCCUGUGCCUCGCUCCUCUGUAGGCCCGCUUCCUCGAGCGUACUUCUAGAUGCAGACUUUAUUCGAAAAAUAUAUAUGUGGCCCAAAAACAUCAGAUUAAAAAAGUUGGGCUCUAAUUCUCCAUGGGAAGGUAGAAAUGGAUCACGUCUAUCUCUUCUAAUUCUUUAUUGGGCUCUAAAAAUAAUUUAAGACGUUGACCAUUUACCUUGAAUAACGUACCUUCGUCAUUUUGAAGUGUGAUAGCUCCGUGGGAUGAUGAAUUGGUUACCUUGAAUGGUCCUUCCCAUUUACUCCGGAGUUUUUCAUGCCCGAAAAGCUUCACCCUCAAAUUAAAAAGUAAUACCCUAUCUCUGGGCGCGAACUCCUUCUUCUUGAUCCUCUUGUCAUGCCACCUUUUGACUCUUUCUUUAUAGAUCUUCGAAUUGUGAUAUGCUUUCUCUCGCCAUUCUUCCAAUUCUGAUAGUUGCAUUCUUCUAUGAUCUCCAGCGACAUCUAGGUCCAUAUUCCAUCUCCUUAUGGCCCAGUGUGCUUUGAAUUCUAGUUCAACAGGUAGGUGGCAAGUCUUCCCGUACACCAAUUGGUAUGGGGACAUUCCAAUUGGGGUCUUUUAUGCUGUCCGGUAUGCCCAGAGUGCAUCAGGUAACUUGUCUUUCCAUGCCGUUCCCAUCUCAUUGACUGUUUUCUGAAGAAUAUUCUUGAUUUGCUUGUUGGAAGUCUCUGCUUGACCACUUGUCUGAGGAUGGUAGGGGGUAGCGACAUUGUGACGUAUUCCAUGUUUUGAUAGAUAGUGCUUGAAGCGUUUGUCGAUGAAGUGUGCUCCUCCAUCACUUAUCACUACUCUGGGGACUCUAAUCUUGGAAAUAUAAUUUCUUCAAACGUCCUCUUUGAACUGAUGUUGUCGGCAUGCUUGCAAGGUAGUGCCUCUACCCACUUGGAGACGUAGUCAACUGCCACCAAGAUGAACUCACACUUCUUUGAUGGGGGAAAUGGACCCAUGUAAUCUAUUCCCCAGACAUCAAAGAGCUCAAUUUGAAGGUUGUUGGUGAGUGGCAUGGCAUCUCUUGUGUUUAUGUUUCCGUGCCUUUGACAUGGCUCACAUCUUCUGAUAUAUUGCUUUAUGUCUUCAUACAUUGUAGGCCAGUAGAAUCCACACUGCCAGAUCUUUGAAUGUGUACGGAAUGCUCCAUAAUGACCUCCAUAUGGUGAUGAAUGACAUCUGUCGAUGAUCUUCCAUCCUUCCUCAGUGGUCACACACCUCGUGAGUAAGCCAUCAGAGCAUACUCGGAAGAGGUAUGGCUCAUCCCAUAUAUGUGAACGACUUUCUUGAGUAAGCUUCUUCUUGUUCGCUCCUAACAAUAUCUGCAUACCAGGGGUCAGACCUGUUAAUCUCGUAGAGCAUGUCGUCCUAGAGUGAAUCAUUGAUGGGGGUUUCCUCUGGAUUCUUAAAAUACAUUCUAGACAAGUGAUUAGCGACAUAAUUCUCUACUCCCUUUUUGUCUUUUAUUUCUAAGUCAAAUUCUUGAAGUAAUAAGAUCCAUCUAAUCAGGCGAGGUUUAGCAUCUUUUUUAGUGAGCAGAUAUUUUAGUGCAGCAUGAUCAGUGUAAACAAUUAUUUUAGCUCCAACUAAAUAAGAUCUAAAUUUAUCAAUGGCAAAGACAACAGCCAGAAGCUCUUUUUUAGUGGUUGCAUAAUUAAGUUGAGCUCCUGCCAAAGGUUUACUGGCAUAAGCAAUUGCAUGAUGCUUCUUAUCUUUAGUUUGUCCCAAAACUGCCCCCACAGCAUAAUCACUAGCAUCACACAUAAUUUCAAAAGGCAACGACCAAUUAGGGGGUUGAAUGAUUGGUGCAGAGAUGAGUGCAUUCUUUAAUAAAUUGAAAGAUGUUAGGCAUGCAUCAUCAAAUUCGAAAGGAGCAUCCUUGGCUAGCAAAAGAGUAAGUGGUCUAGCAAUAAAUGAAAAAUCUUUUAUGAAUCUGUGAUAAAAACCAGCAUGGCUAAGAAAGCUUCGAAUUCCUUUUAUAUUCACAGGUGGAGGUAGUUGUUCAAUUAGUUCAAUUUUAGCUUUGUCUACCUCAAUACCUCUUUCAGACACUAGGUGUCCCACCACUAUUCCUUCCCAAACCAUAAAAUGACAUUUUUCCCAAUUAAGGACUAAGUGUUUUUCUUCACAUCUUUGCAAAACCUUGUCUAAGUUUUCAAGACAACCAUCGAAAGUUUUUCCAUAUACAGAGAAAUCAUCCCUGAAAACUUCCAUAAUCUCUUAAAUUAUAUCAGAAAAUAUAGACAUCAUGCAUCUUUGAAAAGAAGCUGGCGCAUUACAUAACCCAAAAGACAUUCUACGGUAAGCAUAAGUUCCAUAUGGGCAUGUAAAAGUGGUUUUGCUUUGAUCAUCGGGAUGGAUCGGGAUCUGGUGAUACCCUGAAUAUCCAUCUAAGAAACAGAAGAACGAAUGGUUCGCUAAUCGCUCUAGCAUCUCAUCUAUGAAAGGUAAAGGAAAAUGAUCCUUUUUCGUGGCUUUGUUUGGUUUUCUAUAGUCUAUGCACAUCCGCCACCCUGUGACGGUGCGUUGUGGAAUUAGCUCGUUCUUUUCAUUCGUAACAACAGUCAUGCCUCCCUUUUUAGGCACAACUUGGACUGGGCUUACCCACUCACUGUGCGGCACAGGAUAUAUAAUCCCUGCAUGCAGCAACUUCAUAACUUCCUUUUUAACUACCUCUCUCAUCGCGUUGUUUAGUCUAUGUUGGGGCUCUCGAGAAGGUGAAACAGAAGGAUCUGUCGGAAUACGAUGGGUACAAAUCAUAGGACUGAUUCCUGUAAGAUCUUGGAGUGAGUAGCCGAAAACUUAGUGAUGUUUCUCAAGAAUGGUCAUCAAUCGCAGAGUUUUCUACUGAGUGAGUUUAUCACUAAUGAUCAUAGGAAUCUCUGGAUUAUUCUUUAGGAAAGCAUAGGUCAGACCGGGUGGUAAAGUUUUAAGCUCUAUGGGAGGUCUAGGUGUUUCUGCAAACUCGUCUAAGGGUUCCGGUUCAGAAGGUUCAACUUCCUCUUUUGUGAAGAAAGGAGCUUCUUCUUCUAAGUUUGGUUCAUCUAAAAGCUCUAGAGAUGUAGCCUUUACCUCCUCCAUAGGAUCGGGCAAAAGAUAUGACUCGGUCUUAUUAUUUAAGGAGUGAGAAAUCGUUAUUGGAAAUUUAAAAGCUUUUCCAAAAGAAAUGUGUAGCUUUCCAGUAUGACCUUCAUAAAGGAGUCUUCUAAAAGGUUGUCCUAUCAACAGGUCGAAGUCCCAUGUAUCAAAGAUAUAAAAGUUCAAGUGAACCAUGGAGCCUUCUACCAUAAGAGGUAGGACAUUAAUAAUUCCAAGACUGGGGACUAAUCGUCCUAAAGAUUCCUUUAUGACCUUUGUUGUGGGGGUUAAGACUAAAUUUUUAAAUAAUUUAAGUGCAAAAUAUUUAGACAUGAUGUUGAUCCCCACAACAGGAUUAUAGAGAGCAUCAAAUUGAUUAGAAUCAUAAGCACAACGUAUAGUUAUAGGAGGUGUGUCCAAACGGAUCACAUCAGAGGAAAGCUCUGACUCCUCCAACCAUUCGCUACUCAUGACUGCGAUAAGCUCUCUUAAUUGAUGUUCAGUUGGCAAACAAAUGCUAAAAUGGCCGUUUUGGGGUCUGUCAAUAGAAUGGUAGUUUGAAAUGUUUCCAAAAUCGGCAAAAAGAUCAGAUUCUAUAUCCAGCAUGAAAUCAGGUGGUGGAAUUUCUUCCUUUUGUGGCUCAGAACUUGGGAUAGCUAAAGUAGAUGGAGAAUUUGGCAGAGUGUCUACUUCGGCUUCGUGGGUUUCAUCUGAAGGGUAUUAUCCAUCUCAGCUUCUAGGAUUCUAUCUAGGAUCACUCUAGCGUCAUCAGUAGGGAUGCGAAAGAAAGAACCUCUAGACUUUGUAUGUAGCAUUUGUUUAUGAUCUUUUUGAAGACCUCGAAAAAAGUGAAAUAAAAGAAUAGGGUCUUCAAGAUUAAGGUUUGGACCAGAUUCUAAAAGAUCAGACAAAUGUUUCCAGGAUUUUCCCAAAGUUUCAUUAUCUUUUUGUUUAAAGGAUAGGACUUUGAGUCUAAGGUCACUGAUACGGUCGAGGGAAUAAAAAUCUAGGCAAAAGUUAGCUCGUAAAACUCCCCAUUCACCUCGUUGUUGACUUACCUUCUGAUUAUACCAUUGUCUAGCUUCUCCCCUUAAAGAAAAAGGAAAAAGCUUCCAACGUAAAGUUUUAUCAGAAAUGCCUUCAAUGCGAAGACAAUCACAUGUUUGCUCAAAAUCUCUAAUAUGAAGGUAAGGGUUUUCGUCUUCCUUUCCUGAAAAAGAUAGGUUUUGAAUCAUGGCAAUCAACCUAGAACUUAACCUAUACUGGGAUGUUUGGAUAGGCUAUGAUGACUCCCAUGGUAAAAGGUCACUUUCCGAAGGUGUUGCAAAUUGAUAGAUCGAUUUACAAUCUUGGUUUUCCAUAAGGUAAGAAUAAAGAAAAUAAAGAAUAUAAAAAGAUAAGAAAAGAUAAAAGUAUAGAUACAAGCUAGUAUUAAGACUCAAGGUUAUCUCAACAAACCGUCUUUCUCCCUGGCAACGGAGCCACAAAUGCUUGUUGAUAUUUGGUAACGCAAUAAGGAAUUGAUCCGCAAGCGCACGAAUAUCGGUGAGCACUUCACCCGGGAUGUUAUCCAGAGUAUCAUAUUUAUAUUUUUACCACUAGGAGAAAGCGUGCAUCUUACUGACCCGGUUUAUACUACUAACCUUUAGGCUACAAAGAAUGCGACUUGAUGUGAGUGAUGUAUAGAGAAGACUACAACUGCACUCUCGUUCUAACCUUGGUAAGGAUGAUAUACUGUUCUGUUGGGGAGGCUUACGGAAUCUAGACACCACAGAGGAUGUUCGACCCGCACCUAUAAACCCUAUUGAUCCUACUAACGGGAUAUGGGCUACAAAGGUAACUCGAAAAUGUCACGUUCCUCGCUACUACCACGGUCCAGCUAGUCAGGGGAUAUCUAUGAGUAUCCUAACCGAAACACCACGUUUAAGGUAGAGAUGAUUAUUCUAAACUCUACGCGAAGAGAUCAAAGUAAACUCAUAAACCAAAGAACAAUAAGAACUUACUAGAAUUUAGAAGUCAAAAUAUUGAAGAAUCCUAGGAGCAAGCCUCGGGUUAGAAGACUUGAUCCCGCAUGUAUAACCUCGGAGUAGACACCGACAGGCCGGGCUUCCUCUGAUCUACACCUCCACUCUAUCUCUCUCAAUCUAGUAGAACUAGUCUACUCUCACAUUGGAUGCUAAGCCCUAAGUCUACGUAGAGGAAAGGUUAUCCUUCGAGGGCACCUCUCAACUCUAUAAUGAACUUGUUCUCCUCCAGGGGCCAGGGGGUCUGCUUAUAUAGUCCCCUCAGGUGAACGUGGGCCGUCGGAUCAAACCGACAUUGAUUGAACGGUUAUCCUUGAUCCUUUAGGUCGGUGGAGCAUGAUCCGUGAGAUUUGUUGAUAUUUUGGAACGCAAUAAGGAAUUGAUCCGCAAGCGCACGGAUAUCGGUGAGCACUUCACCCGGGAAAUUAUCCAGAGUAUCGUAUUUAUUUUUUUACCACUAGGAGAAAGAGUGCAUCUGACUAACCGAUCUAUUACUACUAACCUUUAGGCACAAAGAAUGUCUUUCGAUGUGAGUGAUAAAUAGAGAAGACUGCAACCGUAGUCUCCUUCUAACCUUGGUAAGGAUGAUCUACUGUUCUAAUGGGGAGGCUAACGGAAUCUAGACACCACAAAGGAUGUUCAACCCGCACCUAUAAACCCUAUCCUUCCUGCUAACGAGAUGUGAUCUACAAAGCUAGCUCGGAAUUGUCACGUUCCUCACUACUACCACGGUCCAGCUAGUCAGGGAAUAUCUAUGAGUACCCCAGCCUAAACACCACGUUUACGCCAGCAAUGAUUACUCUAAACUCUACGCGAAGAGAUUAAAGUAAACUCAUAAACCAUAAGAACAAUAAAAUAAGAACUUACUAGAAUUUAGAAGUCGAAUUACUGAACAAUCCUAGGAGCAAGCUUCGGGUUAGGAGAACUUGAUCCCGCAGGUACAAGCUUGGAGUAGACACCGACAGGCCGGGCUUCCUCCACUCUUCACCUCCACUCUAUCUCUCUCAAUCUAAUAGAAACUAGAAGAUCUAUUUCUACCUUACAUUGGUUGCUAAGCCUAAAAAGAAAUAUUAAUUAGAGAAGAGGUUUUCCUUCGAGGGCACCCCUCAGUCUCUAUGAUAAUUUCUUCAUGUCUUCUCUAGGGGCCAGGGGGGCCUUGCUUAUAUAGUCCUCCCCUUCUAUGCGUUUUUGGGUCGAUAGGCGAGGUGGUACUAUGUUUUUCUUGAUCCAAUAGGUCAGUGGAAUAUCCCGAGCGAAGAGAGUCCUGAUCUGGCUCCAGAGGGGGGCGGGCGCCCAGGCUACCAGGGCGGGCGCCCUGGGCCUGGCCCCGUUUCGCCUCCGCUUCGGUCUCGUGGCUUCUGGAGUCUUCUAGAUGAUGUAAAAUCGUGCGGUGCGUUGAUAUCUCUAUGUAAUCCCGACAUGUGGGCCUUUCUUCCUUAUUUCCUGAUAACCCCCUGCAGAAACAGAUAAACAACAAAACUCGUGGAAUUCUGUCAGAUCAAACCCUAAUUCUAGGUGUUGGUUGCAUAUUGGUCCUUUCUCUUGUUUAUUUGAUAAUUAAAAUUGAUACUUAAGAACCGUCAACAAGAUUCACCCAUACUUAGGCUUUUACUCGUCCUCGAGAAAAGGAUGGUUAAGAAUAAUAUCUGGGGUAAACAUUUUAAAGCAUUCUCUAUAUAAUUUGCAGGGUGUCAAAAAAAUCCACUGUGUACCAUAGUCAGGGAAGUAUAUGGUUAAGAGUAAAGAUCCUUUCUUCUCAAUCCUGCCACUUGGAGUUUUUGUAUAUUUUUGAAAGAAAGUUAGCAUACCUUUUUAUCCUCAUAGGUUCUCUCAGAUCACUCAUUAGCUUUUACAUAUAUCUCACUGAGGCUGUUUUAUUUUGCAAAAAUUCUCAAGCAUUCUUACUUUGCAUUUAUUGCCUGAUCAAAACGGGAUCCAAGGAGGGGAAUGUCAUACUCUUAGAUCAAAGACUUUGGAAAUUAAAAUCUUUGUCAACUCUUGCUGGCAUAUUGCUUAUUAGAGGGACCAUGGGCUAUCAUUUUUCUCUCUUUUUUUAAGUGGAUACUGAGGUACCCCUAAUUCUACUGCCGGACACUUAUCCAUUUUUUUUCUGCGAGGUUAUCGAGCACUUGCUCCUUUUUAUUUCCUCGAAAUAUUUCUAUUUUUGCAUAGCCCAUGCCUCUAAUGCAAUAAUACUUCGGAAGAGUGAAUCUUACUGAAAUAAUGUCUUGAUCUUAGGAGCAUGAUAAAUCUCUCAACAAGGGUCUAACUCAUUUUGAACAAACUCAAUACAGAGCAGAUAGCUUUUAUAAUCAUAAUUAAUAUUUUUAGUUUUAUCAGGCAUAUAAAACACUGAGGAUGGUAGCUAGAAAUUUGAAUAUUUUGAAAUAAAUUCUCCAAGCAACAAUGAUAUCUAGAAUAAGAAACUCAUACUCUAUCAUCACAUAUUCCAAUUGACUUAAGUAACACAGGGUUUUAAAAUGAUUUUAUAAUAAUUGCAAGUUUUCAGGAAAUAUCAUAGAUUGAGAUUAAUCAUGAUUAGAAAUAUUUUAAUCCUUUUAUUUUAUCAUGUCGGAAAUAGUAGUCUGCAUAAUCCAGAAUAAAUGUAUGUAUAAAGUAAAGUGUGCAGAGUGUGUACCUGAGUGGUGG